AUGCACACCAAGGGCACAGCACCCACCAAAUCCACACGGAAACACGGGCACCGGGCACCCCAUGAGCACAAAGCCCCUCCAUGGCUGGCUGGCGGCUCUGCGCAGUCCCAGAGGGCCCCGGAUAGGGUGCUCUGCCACGCCGGACAGCAGCAGGGACUGCCGAGAGCAGCAAGGGGCUCUGUCCCCCACCCCCGCUGCCACUGUGGAGCCGGGAGGGCUGACUGGCCAGGUCCCCCAGAGCUGGACGUGUGCGUGGAGGAGGCCGAGGGCGAGGCGCCGUGGACGUGGACCGGCCUCUGCAUCUUCGCCACACUCUUCCUGCUCAGCGUGAGCUACAGCGCUGCCAUCACGCUCCUCAUGGUGCAGCGGUUCCUCUCAGCCACGCGGCAGGGGAGGCCCCAGACCUCCCUCGACUACACCAACAUCCUCCAGCCCCACGCCUAGGCCGCGGGCCACUCACGCUCCACCAGGCCCAGCUUUUUCUCUGCCAGCGCCUGAGCCUCCCUCGGGCUG